rnacentral:rRNA from 1 species
GGCGGCGUGCCUAAUACAUGCAAGUCGAGCGAACGGACGAGAAGCUUGCUUCUCUGAUGUUAGCGGCGGACGGGUGAGUAACACGUGGAUAACCUACCUAUAAGACUGGGAUAACUUCGGGAAACCGGAGCUAAUACCGGAUAAUAUUUUGAACCGCAUGGUUCAAAAGUGAAAGACGGUCUUGCUGUCACUUAUAGAUGGAUCCGCGCUGCAUUAGCUAGUUGGUAAGGUAACGGCUUACCAAGGCAACGAUGCAUAGCCGACCUGAGAGGGUGAUCGGCCACACUGGAACUGAGACACGGUCCAGACUCCUACGGGAGGCAGCAGUAGGGAAUCUUCCGCAAUGGGCGAAAGCCUGACGGAGCAACGCCGCGUGAGUGAUGAAGGUCUUCGGAUCGUAAAACUCUGUUAUUAGGGAAGAACAUAUGUGUAAGUAACUGUGCACAUCUUGACGGUACCUAAUCAGAAAGCCACGGCUAACUACGUGCCAGCAGCCGCGGUAAUACGUAGGUGGCAAGCGUUAUCCGGAAUUAUUGGGCGUAAAGCGCGCGUAGGCGGUUCCUCCAAGUCUGACUGUGAAAGCCCACGGUCAACCGUGGAGGGUCCAUUGGAACCUGGAAAACUUGAGUGCAAGAGGACAGUGGAAUUCCAUGUGUAGCGGUGACAUGCGCAGAGAUAUGGAGGAACACCAAGUGGCGACGGCGACCAUCGGUCUGACACUGACCGCUGAUGUGCGACAGCCGUGGGGAUCAACCACGGCAUUCGAUACCCCGGUAGUCCACCGCCCGGUGCAAAACCCAGAUGC